UGUGCUAACCCAGGGACAUGGCAAGGCGGUGUCCCCAUGGAGCAGAGAACUGGGGGACCCAGAGCCUGAGAGUAGAAGAAGACUGCACGGCCAUCACAGGCAAGAGCAGGCAGCACUCACAGUUACUGAGGAGAUUAAACUCACUGUGAGGCUCUGGAAGGCAAAACAAGGACCAACUGACAGAAUCUUCCAGGAGUCAGUGGCACACCAGUUACCACCUGGAUAUUCAAGCCCAGACCUGCUGUCUCUAGUGGUGAUGGUCUUGGAGAGAGCUGUAGGAGCUGAAGUCUGAGAGAAGCACAGUGACAGGCCUGCUGCGAGUCAGGGCAAGAAGAGCUCAAGAUGCAAUUUGCAGAGUCUGAAAUCACUCACUGAGCCAGUCUGAUUUGAGAAGGGCUGCGUGGCAGACAAUCUCCACGAUUUCCUGGACUCCUCACUGUUCACCUCCCACGGCUGGUCUGACCAUGGCAGUUCCACUGUCAGGUCUGACAGGACUGAGGUGUCCCAGUGCCCACCUGCUACAUCAAACAAGGAGGUGGGAGAGAAGUAAUUUCACUCCCUUAACAUCCGGAGCAGCUCCUCGGCUGCCAUCAGGACCGCCUGGUGGGGUAUGGGAGAGUCUCUGGGAGACCACAGGCUCAAAUGAACCUUGACAGGUAAUCAUUCCCCAGAGCAGCAGGUGAGUAGUGAUUAGUGCUCCCAGGGAGAGAGAGAGGUGGCCGUGCCUCCGCCAGUUCCCUAAGACACCAGCCUGGAAGUUGCUGGAACCAGUGCAAGGGAGAGGAGGCCCCCAGGUGCUGUGGGAUCAUCUUUCUGUGACAGCCCAGAAUCCACCACCAAAAGGCCCUUCUAGAUUGAUCUUUGCUCAGCGGUUGAGGGUUAGAGGUCAAGGUGAAACAGAUGUCUCUCCUUCUACACCAAGAGCUCCUAAGGGCAGGAAUCAAAUCUCAUUCGUGUUGGAUCCCCAUGACUUAGUACAGUGCUGGCACACUGUAGGGUCUUAUUACAUGUUUCUUGUAUGACUGGAUAAAUUAUGUAUAUAAGUAUAACUAAUGAAGGGAUAAGGUGACACAUGGAUCGUGGAGGCCCAUUCAAGGUUUGGGAGUGCAGAAUGGGGAGAGGUCACCCACCCAGGGUGGGCUGCGAGUAGGAUCCUCCAGAAAAGCCAGUGCUCUAGCUAGUCUUGAGACACCCUGAAGAAGGAGGCUCUGAGCUGGGCUCCUGGAGGAUGGGGAGGAUUGGGGAACCAAAGGGGGGAAUGCAUUCUAGAUGCAUUCUGUGGCUGCAUACAUACGUGCCUGGUGUGUGUGCACAUGUGCGUGCAUAUGUGUUUGCUCAGAGGCUGGUGGGGUUGACCUUGUCGGGGCAGAAAUGAGAUUCUGAUUUCAAGGGACCCACUAGGUUUUCCUAACAGUCCUGGGAGAAAGAUGCAAUUAUACUCACUCUGCAGAUGAGGGAACAGAGGCUCAGGGAGGUGGGGUGACCUGCUCUAAGUCACACAGUGGCAGAGCCAUGAUCUGAGCCAGGUCUGACCAAGGGCUGCCCAGAGUCAGCCCAGCUCAUCCAGGGAAGUCGGGUCCCUUCUCUGCAGAGGCCUGGAGUAGUCAGCUGCUGUGCACCGUGAGGGGGCAGGAGGGUCUGCAGGUGGAGCCCUGGGGGGCACAGACCUCUCCCAAGGGCAUUUCUACUUCUGUCGCAAAGGGCCAAGAACAGCAGCUUUCAGGAUCAGCUCAUGGUGGAGGGGUGGAAGGCUGGGGUCCAGCAGGUGUAUGCCCAUGUUCCAUCCCUGAGUGCACACUUACCUGGAGAGGCAGAAGGCAAGGUUGGAUGGUCUGUCAGAAUCUGAGUCCUGGCUGGUUUCCACAGCCCCUGCCCGCCCAACGUGAAACCGUGCACCUCAGAUUGGGACUUGAACCCACGUGGCGGGGACUCAAACCCGCCAAAACCCUGAGUCUUCCAACUGAGAUCACACACCUGGUUUCGGGACUUAAUGAAGCUCAGGUUCUUGAUGUCGCAUCGCAGAAAGAAUUCAGUGAGAGGCAA